GAACUCGUCAAGAAUUCAAGCAACAUAAUUUAUGAGGGGGAACUCCCAAUUUAUAGAGAAGCUCUUACCUAAUUCAUGGCUUUGUCCAACAAUUUAAACCAAGGAAAAGAAGAGGAAUCCAUUGGGUAAGAAGAAGUUGGUGGAGGUGGUUGAAGUUUACUAUAUGAGCCACUCCCUCCUUCAUUAUGACCAUCAUUCUAGCCAUUAUUACCCUCAUGCUAGCCUCUUUGAUUUUCAGCAAUGAAAUAAGA
rnacentral:lncRNA from 1 species